AAACUUUCAACAACGGAUCUCUUGGUUCCGGCAUCGAUGAAGAACGCAGCGAAAUGCGGUAAUGUGAAUUGCAAAUUCAGUGCAUCGAGUCUUUGAACGCACAUUGCGCCCCCUGGUAUUCCGGGGGGCAUGCCUGUCCGAGCGUCAUUGCUGCCC
rnacentral:rRNA from 1 species